rnacentral:rRNA from 1 species
GACGAACGCUGGCGGCGUGCUUAACACAUGCAAGUCGAACGGAAAGGCCCUGCUUUUGUGGGGUGCUCGAGUGACGAACGGGUGAGUAACACGUGAGUAACCUGCCCUUGACUUUGGGAUAACUUCAGGAAACUGGGGCUAAUACCGGAUAGGAGCUCCUGCUGCAUGGUGGGGGUUGGAAAGUUUCGGCGGUUGGGGAUGGACUCGCGGCUUAUCAGCUUGUUGGUGGGGUAGUGGCUUACCAAGGCUUUGACGGGUAGCCGGCCUGAGAGGGUGACCGGCCACAUUGGGACUGAGAUACGGCCCAGACUCCUACGGGAGGCAGCAGUGGGGAAUAUUGCACAAUGGGCGGAAGCCUGAUGCAGCACCGCCGCGUGCGGGAUGACGGCCUUCGGGUUGUAAACCGCUUUCGCCUGUGACGAAGCGUGAGUGACGGUAAUGGGUAAAGAAGCACCGGCUAACUACGUG